GUCGUAGUGAUAUCCUUAUACGAAAUAUGGAGUGGAAAUCAGUACAGUUUGAAGAUUUGAACUAGUCGAUCAAAAUGAAACACCAAAUAUUGAGUUUCCUAGUUUGUGUUUUAGUCGCAACGUCUGUGGCAGAAUUUCAAUGUGAAAAGGGUGCACCUUACAAGGAGAAUAAUUGCAACAAUUGCACUUGUUUAAGUGGAGGACUACUGGCAUGUACCCAAAUGGCUUGCCUCGGUGGCGAAUACCGGAGGUCGUUGAAUUGCGUGGAGGGAACUGUCACCCAAGUUGACUGUAACACAUGUAAUUGCGUUAAGGGACAAGGAACUAUUUGUACCGAUAAUAAAUGUUAGGAAAUUAUACAAAACAAUUACAUAAUAGUUAUUUGUGUAUCAGCUUUUUCAGUAUCUGUCGUUUUUGUUGUAGAAUGGGUUUGUCUAUAAACAAUAUUUUAUCACUUU